AUUGAACGCUGGCGGCAGGCCUAACACAUGCAAGUCGAGCGGAGCGGCGGACGGGUGAGUAAUGCCUGGGAAUCUGCCUGGUAGUGGGGGAUAACGUCCGGAAACGGGCGCUACUACCGCAUACUAUCAGAUGAGCCUAGGUCGGAGUGGCUAGUUGGUGGGGUAAAGGACUACAAGGGCGACGGUCCGUAACUGGUCUGAGAGGAUGAUCAGUAACACGGGAACUGAGACACGGUCCAGACUCCUACGGGAGGCAGCAGUGGGGAAUAUUGGACAAUGGGCGAAAGCCUUAUGCAGCCAUGCCGCUUGUAGUAAGAAGGCCGUCGGGUUGUAAAGUACUUUCAUCGGGGAGGCGUUACCCGCAGAAGAAGCACCGGCUAACUCCGUGCCAGCAGCCGCGGUAAUUC
rnacentral:rRNA from 1 species